rnacentral:rRNA from 1 species
GACGAACGCUGGCGGCGUGCUUAACACAUGCAAGUCGAACGGAAAGGCCCUGCUUUUGUGGGGUGCUCGAGUGGCGAACGGGUGAGUAACACGUGAGUAACCUGCCCUUGACUUUGGGACAACUUCAGGAAACUGGGGCUAAUACCGGAUAGGAGCUCCUGCUGCAUGGUGGGGGUUGGAAAGUUUCGGCGGUUGGGGAUGGACUCGCGGCUUAUCAGCUUGUUGGUGGGGUAGUGGCUUACCAAGGCUUUGACGGGUAGCCGGCCUGAGAGGGUGACCGGCCACAUUGGGACUGAGAUACGGACCAGAAUCCUACGGGAGGCAGCAGUGGGGAAUAUUGCACAAUGGGGGGAAGCCUGAUGCAGCAACGCCGCGUGCGGGAUGACGGCCUUCGGGUUGUAAACCGCUUUCGCCUGUGACGAAGCGUGAGUGACGGUAAUGGGUAAAGAAGCACCGGCUAACUACGUG